AACGUUUAGCCUAGAUAUAUGCAUGUCUAUUAUGUGCAUGCCUGGGACCUGCAAAGCCCUGAAUCGGGUAGAGAAUUCCCUUCCUGGGGUUACAGGAAGCUGUGAACCUCCACACGGGUACUGGAAGCUGAACUGAAGUCCUCUGCAAGAGCAGCCAGCGGUCUUACUGGCUUUGCCCCGUCCCAGUCCCUGCUUUAAAACAUUUUAUAUUGCUAAUUAUUAUUCCACUGGGAUCAUAUAAUAUGCAACUUUUGAGGAUAUUGUUUUUUUAUUUUUUUAAGGAAUAAUUCUGUUUCUUUAAAAAUAUUUAUUUGUGUGUGUGUGUGUGUGUGUGUGUGUGUGUGUGUGUGUGUGUGUGUGUGUUCAACGUGCCAUACAUGUGGAGGCCAGAGGACAGCUUGGUGGGGUUUGUUCUUUCCUUCCACUGUGUGAGUCCUGGGGAUUGAACUCAUGUUGUCAGGCUUGGUGGAAGCGUCUUUACCUGAGGAGCCUCUCUCCCAUUCUGGCAUUGCCUUAUUAUUAUUUUUACCUUCUGCUUUCUUUGGGGAUUCAUCCAGGUGAUGGCAUGACCAAUGGCUUGGGCCCUUUGUCCUUUCUGAUAGCAUCCCAUGAUAAGGAUGUCCUGCAGCCUGCUCACCAGGCUGUUUUGAUUAAUAUGGAUAAAGCUAUUGAUGCUAAGACACAAGCUUUUGUGUGAACACAGAUUUACAUUUGCCUAAAACAUCCACGAGCAUAAUUGCUAGGUCAAAUGACAGUUCUGCCUUUACUUCAACAGACCCUGUGGCGUCCCCGGGAGCUGUACCAUUAUCCACUCACAUAGCAGUGUGUCCCAUCUUCUCUACCCUCUCUCUCCCUUCGUCACAGUUCUCAGUUCUAGCCAUCCACUCUGACAGGAGUGUACAGAUGUCCCCUUGGAGCUUUGUUUUGCAUUUUCACAGCAGAAUGACGUUGAACACAUGUGUGUAUCUGCCAUCUGGAUAUCUUCUUGGAUCAAAGGGUGGCUCAUGCCUUUUUUGGGUCUGUUUUCUAGUUGUUUUUUUGCUGUUACGUUUUGAAAAUUCAGAUACGUGCUUUGCGAAUAUCUUCUCCCUGUCCUUGGCUCUUUUCAUCCUUCUAACUAAACCGUGGCACAAGGUCCUCAUUCAUCAAAGUCUUCUUUUAUGGGUGGUGCGUUUGAUGUCAAUCAAAAAUUCUUCCCCCUGUUGUAGGUUCCAAAGAUUUUCUAUUUCUUUUCUAAACAUUUUUCUAGUUUUCCAUUUUUGAAAUAACUCUGCAGAAUCAGAGUACCAGCAACAGGAGCAAACAGCAGCAGAAGUGGCCGCCAUCUUUGCCUUCCUUCCAGCUGGGGGGGAAGUCACCGGCACCAUCGGGCAUGGUGGCAGCUGACAAGUGUUUGCUUUCGUCAGGUUGAUGACGUUUUUCUUGAUUUCUAGUUUCUUUCUUUUAAUUAAAAAAAGGGUGUCGAAUUCUAGCAAACGAGUUGCCAACUCAUAAUUUAAUUUUCUUUCUUAGUUGCUUAGAUUUCAACCUUUGAUUUUCUUUUCUUUUUUUCUUUCUUUCCUUCCUUCUUUCUCUCUCUCUUCCUUCCUUUCUUUCUUUCUUUCUUUCUUUCUUCCUUUCUUCCUUUCUUCCUUUCUUCCUUUCUUCCUUUCUUUCGUAAGGAACCGGGUUCAAAUUUGAUGAUUGCAAUGUGCUAAACUUUCGGCGAGAGUUUUCUCCCUGCACAUUGGGAUAACUCUGUCUUCAUAAAACGAAUGUCCCUUUCUCUUGUAUCUUCUGAAGAAGAUCUGGAAGGCUUGGUGUUAAUUCUCGCAUGAAACUGUCCAUAGGUUUCUUUUUCAGGGUGGAGGUGGAUGGGAAGGUGGGUGGUGUAGGUGGGCAGACUGUAACAACUUCAGUUUCUUUAAUGGUUAGAAGAAUGUGCAGGUCACUUAUGGAAUUGAAGUUGAACUUGGUAAUCAGCUGUUUUUUCAGGAGUUGACUAAUUUCCUCCAACAGAAGAGCUGUUUGUAUUAACCCUCUGUUGUCCCUUUCAUGGCUCUAGGGUCUGAACUGACCGUCUCUGCUUUAUUCUUGAGAUAGGCGAUCUGUGUCUUUGAUCGUUGUUGCUAGAUGAUUGCAAGCUUUAUUGCAUAAAGAAUACCAGGUUUUGGUCAUUGUUCCUCUCUCUUGCUUCCUGUUUUUCAUUCACUUCUUCUUCCUGCUGCUUCCUGACCACUGGAUUUGUGAUCUGUUCUUUGAAGUAGGGACUCGGAUGGCUAUCUUCAGGUUUUUGGUUUGCUAAUGUGACCUUGCUUCCUUCUCUACACUGAAGAGACACGUCCCACAAAUUAAGUAUGUUUACUUCUCUCACAAUGGAGUUCUAUGAAAUUUUAAUUUUUAUUUCUCUUUGCCACAACCACUGAGAAAGAAAGGGCUUCUGCUCUUGUUGGUGGACAUCUACUCACACACGUGACCCUGUUUGUUUGUAGAUGGCUGUCUUGGUUUUCCAAUAACUCAGUUGAUUUUCUGUUUAAUAAUUUUAUCAAUGGUCAGAAGAGGAUGAAAACCUUGACUGUGAUAAUUGAGAUGGUUAGAUGUUGGCUUUCAGGGGUUCUGACUUUUUUAAAUGAAAUGUUAACUUAAGCAUCUGUGACACUUCUGAAGCAGACUUUACACACAUCUUAGUCCCUUUCUACAAUACAGAUAGUGAUACACACCAUAGAGAUUGGACUAUUACAACCAGUUCCCACAGUUUUCGAAGGUCUAAGGGCAUCUGGUCUCCACCCUUCCCACUCUCAUUCCCAAAGGUGUAUUCCAAUGGUCUACUGCUUGGCUUAAGAUAGUGUUCCUAAAACUAGCCUGCUCAUAAGGACACUGGGGUGCUCACUAAAAUUCAGAUGCCUUGGCCUUAUCUAAGGGCUCGAAAGAAAGACCUGAGGAUGUUUAACAAACAUCCUAUGGAAUUCCAAUGGUCAGGCUGUUGCUUUUCAAUACAUACAAUUUCUUAUCUCCCCAUCCAUGGUUCUUCUACCCUGAUACUCCAGUUAUCAAGCAUAUAGCCAACCACUUCUGUAAAAUAUUUGUAAUUAAGGAGUCCCUGCUUGACGUUUUCUAAUUGAAAGGGACUUUUAUAUUAGCUAGUGUAUUUAUUAAUUGUUGAAUGAUUUGUUUCCCCAGUGUGAGCACUAAAAAGAUGUUUGUUAGUUUCUAUGCCAAAUACUAUAACUGGGUAUUUUAACAGCAAAAGGAACAAAUUCUAUUUCUAGGACAGUUCAUAGGUACAGCAAGAAGCAGCAGGUGAGAUGAGCUGUGGUUUAGGAAACACUACACUGAACUAUAUUCUGUAUGAAGAGCUGAUGUCAUAGCAUUUAAGAGAGUUCUAAGAACGCAAUGGAAAGAAUCAGUCAGUCCACUCUGCUCUCUCUAGUAUGAAAACGCUAGCUAAUUGAAAAUAGCAGGAAGUAAGUUCACUCCUAAGGUUUUAUAAUGUCUACUAAUGUUGCUAUGUAAUUGCCAAGUAGUAACUCGGAGAGUCGUAAAACACCAGAGACGCACUGCUACCUCAGGUUCAGAAUCAAGCGCAAUGCUAGAAGUAUGUUAUUUAAUUUUUUCAUUUUAUAGGCAAUAAAGGUGGCGGGUACUGGAGCAACCAGACAGCAUUAUGCAGUGUGUUUUAGAUCUGUAGCGCCUUUUAAUCGCACUGCCUCCGAGGUAGGUUACCAUUAGACCUCACAGAUAAGGAAGCAGCAGCAGGGAGGUCAGAAGUUUGUACCCACAGCUUACAAACGGAAGAGUUGAUUAAGAUACUCUCCUAGUCGGAGAAAAUAGACAAGUACUCAGGAGCGAUCCCUCCACGUGAGAGAACAUAGCUCUGUCGGUUCCAACGGAUACAUAAAGCCAUGUUGGAUAGAUUGCAGUGUCUUUUGGACCCUUUCCUGCCAGCCAUUUGAGCCUCGUUCUCACAGCUUUGUGAGAGUAAAUGUUCCGACUCAUAGUUCCAGAACGCUCUACAGAGUCCCUGAAUGCCAAGUUUCUUGUUCUUCAGCAGCACACAGGCAGACAGAUUACUCAGAAAGAGCAUAAUAGGUGACUAAAACCAAUGUCACCUACCUUGUCAGCUAGGUUUCUCAUACUCGUAAGAUUUGGGGGUGAAUUUUGUCCCCUCUCAAAUUUGUAUAUUAAAGCCCUAACCCUUGAUACUUCAGAAUGCGACUGUAUUUGGAGUUAGUGCUUUUGAAAAAAAUUGUUAGACAAAAUGGGGGCUGUAACUCAAUAUGACUGGUGCGUUUAUCAGAAGGGGGAUUAGGACACAAGACAGACCAAGGAAGGGCACGGGAAGGAGGAGGUAAUAGCCUGCAAGUCAAAGAGAAAAGCUGCGGGCAAAAUCAAACAUGCCCCCAAAAUGCCACACCUUAAUCUUGAACUCAGAGCCUCCAGUGGGUGGGAGAAUGAGUUUCUCUUGCUAAAGUCACUCGGACUGUGGUCGUUUGUUAUGGCAGCGCUAGCAUACUGUUACAGCACGGUUGUCAAUGCUCAUACAGUCCUGGGAAUAUUGAUAUUUGAGGAAAUAUUCUUUUCGUAUAGAACAAUUAGCAAAACAAGUUGUAUAAUUUAGGGCAUCUCUCCUCCUCCUUUAGGCACAACAUGGAGAGACACAGCGGUGUGAGUGACAUCUUUGCUACAGAGCCUCAGGUUUGCUCAGUCUCUACCACUAGCUUUCUUAGAGCCGAGGCAAGUACAUUGAGCGAUGUAAUGUUGAACCUUCUCCCGACUUUCCAUGCAGUGGGUGAGAAGGAAGAUUAGCAGAGCACCCUGGGCAAUGGGCAGAAGCCCUGCCUUGACCCUCAGCCUGGGACUUGGUUAGUGAGGUCAUAUUAGGUUGAAAGGGUCCAUCUUAAAAAGCAUUUCCAUUUUAGAUAUUUGGUGAGUAAAAGUAAAAAGAGAAAAGAGAAAAGAUGAUUGCAGGAAAGGGGAUGAUGGAAAGAAAUGGUCUAAGGGUCUUUAAGGAAAACAUCAUUGUUGUUCAGGGGCCAUCAGUGAGGAGCCAUAACUCUCUCCAGGAGAAGGAAGCUUUGAAGGUUAUCUUUCCAUUUGGAAUGAUCAAUUUUAAUAUUCCAUUAAAAUGAAUAUAUUACUAUACUUGGCAUUUUAUUUGAAAAUAAUCAUUUCAAGCCCUUACCUAACACUUCUUCCUUCAAACUUUUUUUUUAAAUCUUAGUUUACAUCAGUGCUGUGUUCUGCCUCUACGUAUGUCUGUGUGAAAGUGUCAGAUUCACUAGAAUUGGAAUUACAGGCAGUUGUGAGCUGCCAUGUGGGUGCUAGGGUUUGAACCCCAGUCCUUUGAAUGAAUAGCCAGUGCUCUUAACCUCUCAGCCAUCUCUCCUGACCCUUCUUCCUUCAAACUUAAGGAGCAUUAAACAUAUUUGCACAAGGUUUUCCUAACUACAUCCUGUGGGGCCGCAGGCAAACAAAGACAGCAUUUUUCCUUUGGAGAACUAUCUGUAUGAGGGAAAAGAAAGGAUUUUGAUGCCAUGAAUAUUUUUGUCUUGUCCUAAAAGAUGCCAUUGCAGACGGAACUAUCACAAGGCAAAAGCCAAUUCUGAUAGAUGUAAAUGGCUUCAGUGCACUUAGAUCCUAAGACCCCAGGAAGUGGCAAUCAACCCUAACACAAAGAGAAAAACACACAUCUGUCAUUAUUUUUAAAAAUGUUUUAUUUUUGAAGUAAAAGCACUGAGUUUAUCAAGAAAAUGAGAACACUCCGGAGGAUGGGUGUGGGCUACUGAGUGGAGGGAAAAACCCUGAGUCCCCGUCCCUAAACUGCAAUUCUGGCAUAUUCCAGAAUGUCUAGUUAUGUCAAAUUUGAUAGGUUUUGGUACACUUCAGUCUUAAAGUGUUAGGAUUUAUGACAAAAAGGACAGGCCUAAUUAAAAAAAAACCUAAAAAAAAAAUCUCUGAAGUAUUCUAGAAGCUCUCAUUCUACCAGAUGAUAUAUUUAAUGAGCAUACAUUUGAUUUGAUAGACACGUGUGACCAUACAUUGUCAAAUGAAGGACUGAGAAGGCUAUGCAUAUCUUAGGCACAUGAUUACAGUUAUCAAAGUUCGUGAGCAUACACCGAAGAGAAUAUUACUCACGGAGCCAAAGUAUGAUGAUUUUUCCCCAGUAAGUUCUGUAUUGAAGACGCUGCAGGAACAAUGUCGUUGUGAGCAUAAAGCGUUUUUUGUGUAGUAUUUUGGACAAAUGCUUGGUUGUCCAGAAGAUCCAUCUGCGUGGAUCUGAAACCCUGUUGGAUGCUGUCUGUUCUAUUUUCACAAAGAAAUGUCCACACUGCCGUGUCAGUGUUUCCUAGCACAUUGCUUCCGGCAGACGGAUUUCCUCUGGGGAAAGAAAAAGCCCCGAAUCCUUAAACCAACACGCCUACCUGCAAUGGAGCAGACGAGCUGUGCACCGGAAAGCAGACUGCAACCAUGGUGGACAGAAUAUACCCAGGGACGGUUUUCUUCCCCAGACUCAGGAUGUCCUUGAAGCAGUGGCUUAAUGUGUGCGAAAUGAUGGGAAACGCGAAGAGAACAUAUCGAGUAAAUGGCGAGGCCCGAGGGAUUUGUAAAGGGAUAUGGAGCUUCCUAGUGUGGAGCACCAGGUCUCAGUUCAAAGGCAGCUGUGCUCAGCCAUGACUCACCAGCACUGUACACAGGCCUGGCCUGCUGGGAAGAGAGCCCUGUGCGGGGUUUCCUUGUCAACAGCUGGGGAGCUGGAAAACAGAAUCACCACUUCAGCUGGUGUUCAUGGAAAUCUAAACUCUCCAGGAGACUCAGAUCUCUGCAGCCCCUGCUUCCCACCUUCUCAGAUCAUUCCCCAGCGCUCCUCAGGACCAUAACAUGGGCUGGGAUAAAAGCAUGUCCUGUGGUUUAGUGACUUCCCUAAUCCUGCCAAGCCAAGAGGAAACCUUCCUUCACGACCCCAGUUGGCUGAGAAUCGACUCGAGGUCUGAAACAAAUCAUGCAGCAAAGAGGCUCCCACCCUACACCAGAGAGCCAAGUUGUGCGAUCCCUGGUAGUUACCACGGUAAAACCCUGGUUCAGUCCUCAGAGUGGACUCCUAAGUGGGAGUUGCAUAAACGUGGUCUUGUUCAGUCUCCAGGACCCUGGCACACGACUCAAGAUCUCAGAACCUACGGCUCAGCUCUGGGGAAAUAAAGAGCAGGUUUUAAAAGCCAGGGAAGGGUUGGAGGAAUGGCUUGGUGGUUAAGAGUGUGUACCGCUCUUCCAGAGGACCCAAGUCCUCAGCGCUCAGAGUCUACACUGAGAGUUUCAUAUCUUGCUGUUAACUGCAGCUCCAGGACUAUCUGCACCUGUCUCCACAGACUGAAUAAACAAACAAACAAACAAACAAACAAAUAAAUACAUGGACAUUUUAAAAAAAGGCAUUCUCAUUCAGCUCAUCCAGGACUAGCUGCUCCUAGAUAAAUAAAUAAAUAAAUAAAUAAAUAAAUAAAUAAAUAAAUAAAUAAAUAAAUGGGCAUAAAAGCGUUCUCAUGCCAAAUCGUCAGGUUAGGACCAGGCAUACAACUCACGCUUACAGGCAGAGGACAGCUUUGUGCAGCCCUCAGUAGGAGAAAGUGAUGAGCAAGGGGUUUUCUUCCCAGGAGAAUCAACGUUUACCCAGGAUUCAUGAUAUGCUGGAGCUGGUGGGGGGCAACUGUGGCUGAAGAGAAAGAAGUGCCUGGAGCUAUGGACUUGGUUUGUGGGCCCGUAUAACAGGAUCAUCCUGGUUGACCUCAUAGUCUCUUGAAAACUGGUUUCCCCGUGUUUUAGAAUGUCAUAUUGCAUCAGGAGGGCUUCUGGGCUCUGAUAGGUUUCUCAAGGUACUAUUUUUAAGGGACUGUUGGACUCAUCAAAAGCCAGGGAUUAGCAAAAUGGAAAUCACCCGUGAUUUAAGUCAUUAGCAGACACCAAACUGCUUACGUUCCCUGUGAAUGGGCAAAAUUAGUUUAUUCUGUAGAAAACUGGGGAUUGUUUACGGGCAUGAGAAAGCCAAGCCUGUGGUGACAUUAAAUGGAAUUGCUCUGUAAAAAUGCAUCUGUGAUGAAAACUGCACAGAAAAUGGUGAAAGCGCUCAGGGGAGGGAGGAGAAAUACGGGUGUGGCUUUCUCUCUCUAUAUUGUUACGACACUUUAUUUACUGCAUCCGUUAUUUUUUCAACAACUAAAAACAGACUUCCAAACCACUUUUACCUUUAAAUUUAGUUUAUGGAGUUAGCCAUACUGCUUCAGAGAAAGCUCAUUGGGCUGCACUUACUGUGUUACACAGAAAAUAACACAUUCGUGUGCCUAUAGAUCCAUUUCCUUCCCAAACCACGCAAAACAAAACAAAAAAUAUAGGCGGCUAGACGGAUCUUUUCCUAUAAAUAAAAGAAGCAGAGACAGUAAAUCUGGAAGUGGCAGAUUACAUUACUGUCAUAUCAGGAGCCCAAGGUGGGGAUAAAAGUGCCAUUUAUCAACCCCAGGGAGCUACGAGCCUGUGGAUUUUCUUGUCCUCGGUGUUACUGGAGUUUAGAUAAUUCCAGACUUGGAUUCUUUAUCUGAGAACUUCAUUUUUGCAAAGCUAUUUAGUAAAACAAGGAGUGGAAUAUAGAAGUCCAAUGGGGAGCAAAGAUAAAUGAGUGAAGCGAGCGGAGCCUGCGCAUUUCCGACCCCAGCAGGAGGCAGGAAGUGUUCAGAGGAAUCCCGAGUGUCAGGAUACGCAUCACUUCCGCAAGCCCAGCAAUUCCUUUCCAAAAAACGACUUUCUGGGUCAGGAAUUAAUGUCCCUGGUUUUAAAACAGAAGUUUAGGAGAGAAUUAAACACAAUAUGGGUGACAAUAUCUGUAUUUAUCAUAUGCGUUUUCAUGUUAAAGGAAUACAUUUCUGUCUCAUUUUAAAAACACACGCAGUAUGGCCAGAUGUGGUGACUGCGCUCCAAUCAUCCUACUCAGGUGGAUGAAUCGGGAUCCUGCUUUCAAGGCUGGAUUGUGUCUACACAAGGAGAUCUUCCCCCACUCAACCCCCCAAAUGGGCAUGUAUUUACCUUGGUAGAAAUUUGUGUGUGUGUGUGUGUGUGUGUGUGUGUGUGUUUUGGGAGGGAGUGACAUUGAAGUAAGGCAGAGAGUUAUUAAAUUUGAAAAACAGUGCAUCAUUCUUUCCCUUUUCAAAAGUCUGCAGAUAAUGCCUGAGGUUCGAAGGUUACUGAAGAAGGAGAAAGAAGCUUGGCAACGUUCAUGGACAAGCAUUUUCUUCUGCUCUGUCAUGAACGAGAUCAUCUGAGACGGAUACUGUUUCCCCUGAUACAGUGAUGGUAUCAAGGUCUUAGAGCUGACUGACACCCAGGCUACCAUCAGCCUACCUCAGAAAUCAAGCAACUUUACUUCAAACAACGGUUGUUGUUCCAAGACAUCACUCAGCUGGUGAUGGAAGCAAGUUAUUACAAAUAGUCAAUUAGGAGGAAGGUGAAGAGAGAGAACCGCUGAAGAAGACAUGUGGUCAGUAGAGGUUCUUGGCCUCAGCUCCUCAGCCUAACAGAGGAAACCAUAGCUUUGCACACUGAGUCCCAGAGUAUGGAUUCUGAUGUGAUGUAGAGGAAUCCUGAGAGGGGAUGGUGGGCAGAACCUCCUUGAGGAAGGCGAACCUACUUUUCUCCUUCUCCAUCUUGGCUCACCCUUCUCUCACUCUACACACAAGAGGCUCCCAAAGCACCGGGUUUCUCAUUUGCAGCUCCAUCACCUUUCUAAUUACUUCUUCCCCAUCUGUCUCCAUGUUAGAUUGGAGGCUCCAGAUGUGCAGGCCCAUCUCCUUCACUGUGAGCAAGAGGUCCUGAGCCUUGGGCCACCCUCUCUCUCCCUUCCAUGGACAUACCAAUGCAUAGUCAAGUGUAUCCUCUUCAACCUCAGAGCUGGUGCCUCGACUCCUCUGGGACAUUUUGGACAGGCAUGACAUAGCAGUCUAGGGUAUCUAGUGGGUAUUUAGUGGGCGUAGGACUGGGAAUAAGAGUAGAUCCAUCACUGUAGAUAGUGAUAGCCAGAGAAAGGGGCCUCAUUUUCUUGGCUCUAAACUCAGGAGGCUUCACAGUGAGGUUUCUCAGAGAGAGAGAGAGAGAGAGAGAGAGAGAGAGAGAGAGAGAGAGAGAGGGGAGGUCUGAGGGGUAGCAAUGGUAGGGUUUGGAUAUAAUCCUCACCAGAUCACCAGAGAUGAUUGUAUCCUUUCUAGUGUCUUUCUGUUACUUUUCUAAAACUUUUAGGGGAAGAGAAAAAAAUUUCUUCCCAUCAUGGAGAGAGUUUCAUCUUUUUAGACAUAGCGCACACACACACACACACACACACACACACACACACACACACACACACAGGAUUUUACCUUCUCUGUCACCAACAAUUUGUAGGUUCACACAGCAUAUCUAACUCACUCCUGACCGUGUAUUUAGAGUUCAGCUCAUUGGGCAGAGCUUCAAGGCAAGCACAUUGGGUUUCUCUCGUAGUACCUAUGGGGUAGAUGCCAAUGAAACUGGAUGGAUGGUUUGAAUAAAAUAAAUGGAAACCACAGACAGAAAUUUUUGCUAUGUGAAACAAAACCAUUUCUCUUAGAAUUAGACCAAACACUAAAUGCUGUCUUGAAAUUAAAGUUCAGGGUUUCCAUAGAGCAGAGAGUGCUGAGGGAAUAUUCGAGAAUUAGCCAUCGAGAAAGUUCCUGGGGACCAAUCAGGGCAUCAUUUGUUCUCUUCCAUCCCUUUAUACUAAGAACACACGACUCACUCUGGGGUACCCAGAAUGCACCUCACUUAUAGCAAUAGAGAAACAAGCAGAAAAAGGACUAUAUAGAAUAAUGGAAAUUCCAUUAAAGAGAGAGAGAGAGAGAGAGAGAGAGAGAGAGAGAGAGAGAAAGACAGAGAGAGAGAGAGAGAGAGAGAGAGAGAGAGAGAGAGAGAGAGAGAAUUGACAAUUACUUAGAAGUCAGGAAGCCAAUUUUUCUAAUCAAUACCUUGCUCAAGAAGGAGAGCUUGAUGAGGUGUCAGAGUCGGAAGCAUUAUCAAAGCUGCAUUUGCUUUGUGUAGGUCCUUAAGUAGUCCUGGUCAAUUCAGAGACAUCUGAGCAAGGACAGCCAGCAAGGAGUAACGAAUGGUAGGGCCUGAGUCUUUACACUCCAGUGGCCAAACUUUACCAUAAAGGACAAAGCUGGAAACCAGACUCAGGCUGCUUUGGGCUCGCAUUCGCUGGGUCUUCAUCUAAUUCCUAAGAGCAUCUCUACCCGAGCCUCCCCCCCACCCCAAGGAUAAACAUCGUAACUAUAAACAGGAUCAACCGCAGAACCAGGUCCCUUGUGUCCCAGGCAGACUCUUGGUGGCAUUACAAAACACAACCUGAAUGUUAUUAAGGGGGAAGUGGAAAACAAAGAGAUUUCAAGUAAAUGCAUGAGACGAAUUUUUCGUCAUCCCAGCUUUAUUUAGCAUGUGAGGAUUCGAUGUCACCACAUGUGUCCAUCACAGAACAAUUGCAGCCUAAUCAGCCAAAGGGACAGGGGUAGUCUCAGUUUUCAGAAAACCGUGUUCAUUUAGCUGUGGUUUGAAGCGCCAUUACGGCAGCUGCACAAACCCUGCAAAGAGAGCACCUUGGCUGUGGAUGGAAAAGGAGAAAAGGGAACCGAAUUUGUUUUUGCAAGGUUUGACCCAAACCUUUCCCCAUUUGUUUUAAAUUACCAAGAAAAGUAAACAUUUUGGCGAAUCUUUCAGAGAGAUUUAUAGGUGGCCCUAAAUGCAAUCUACUUGGUGACUGACUCAAUUUUAAUUCCUUUGGUUCUUCCUUGCAGAAAGGGCCACACUGUUACCGCUUGCCUGGUCAAAGGUUACACUUCCUGCCCUCCAUCAACGUAGCUAGACAUGUGAGUGUUUUCCGAUGCUAGUCAGGUCACCAGCCAAGGGGAUCACUCAAGCUAAGUAUCUGAUCAAGGGGUUGCUGUAAUGAAUGCUGUUACCAGGUAUGCAAUUAGCGGCUCUAGCCUUCACUGCUUUAAUGAAACGCAUACUGGGUGCGCUCACUGAAGGCCUAAUCUGGAAAAGGCAGGCAGAACUAGAGGCGUGGAUAGCCAUUCUGCCUUUAGUUAUUUCUUUCAAAUAUAGGAGCAGGAAUAGAGCUCAGCGAGAGGACACUUGCCUAGCAUGUGCGAGGUCCUUGGAUCAAUCCCAACAUUGAUUUUUUUUCUUUUAAUGACUUUCCCAUUCUUUUUUUUCAUUGCUUAUUUUUCUCCCCCUUUUCUCCCCUUUUCCUCCCUUCCUCUCUCCUUUCUCCUUCCCUCUCCUCCCUCUCCCUUGUCUUCCUUUUCUUGUAUGACAGUUUUGUGCUCUCAUCUCAGGGCAUUUGGAAGCACAUCAUACCGUGCUUGGAUUGCUCCUACUCAUAGGUCUGCACAACACAAGGGUUUAGUUACUUGAGUUGUCAUGUCUGUGCCAGUCCUGUACACAUUCCUUCCCUGCUCUCUACCACAGAGAACCCACACUGAACGCCUUCGAAGAGCCAAGCGCAACUUCUUUACUUGCUUGAGAUCGGUAUUUCCUUUUCAUAGUCAGAGAAACUGGACCACAGACACGGAGCCAGCAUUUGAACCCAGAGAGCCUAUGCCCAGCGAACUUGGAUCAGAGCGAAACAGUGCACCCCUCAAAGUUGCUUGAGGUCUUAGAAUUCUCUUGCUACAGUCUUCUCUCAGAGCGGCCCUGCUUUGCCCCUCAGGAAUGAACAUGUGGGACUCUGUCUCCAGAACUCAGACUUAAAUUAUAGUCUUUUCAACUCAGGAUGGCACAGGUGUGGAACUGCACAUGGGUGUUCACUCACAUGUCAGUCUGGCCAAUCAAGUCUCACACUGCUCAAGUGCUGAGACCAGCUCGGGGACACCUCCUGCUCAGUCCAGUCCCACCAGAGUUAAUCUGAUCACUUCUUGGUGGAAGCAAAGAGAAAUAGUAAGUUUGUGGUGGUAUUUGAACCUGGUCUUACUCCAUCACUGUGGGCAGCGUAAAGUCUGUGAAGGGCUUCAACAUACAAAGAAAAACCUACAACUCCCAUCUAAGAGCCAGAGAGGACUCAAGCGCGGGCCGUCCGUAAGAGCAGCACAUGACUUAGAGAUGAUGAAAGCGUACGCUAGUCCGUGUUUGUAGUAUAUCAUGGAUACUGGAAUUGAUAAGGAAUUAAUUAGGAUCGGCCAAAGAUUGCUCUUUGUGUCUCCUGAGUGAUGAACAAAGAUCCUAGCCAUUGGUCAAUGGCGGGGACACAUCUUUUGGUAGGGGAAACCGAGACAAUUAUAUUCUGCUGAGCAAGAGAAAGGCACAGCUGGCCCUAUGGAAUCGUAAGAGUCAGGAGUGGGCUGCAGCCAGAUCCCCACUAUCUACAAGGAGUAGAACAAGUAACAUAACCUCACGUUAUGGCUGAUAAAGUCCUGGAGCACUUGGAAGAGCGUCUUACCUAGGAUGGCAGCUGAGAAAAAUGUGGAAAAGACGAAUCAAAGAGCACAGAGACAACCUCUCUGCUUCAGUUUCCCCAGGAGAGUGCUCAACAUUCAGACUAGUCAGCCUGUAUCUUAUUCAUCUUCCUUAGCACCCAAGUGCUCUGGGGAUGUCGGUAUGGACUGAAUGAAUGAAUGAGAAAACGGGGCUGACCAUACCCGGGAUGCCUCGGAAGCAGGGCAAGAUAAUAGUUAUUGAUCAAAUGGCUGGAAGCUACGGAGAGUUCAAGAGGACUUGGAAUGGAGCAGAACCAUUUUUCUUGACAAAAGUGAAGAAGUCAUUAACCGGAUGGGAGUUGUGGUUUCUUUGUGGUGGAGCAGGUGGGAACGGAGAGCUGGGGUAGAUGGGUCUCUCUGGCUCAAUUAGAUGCCCUGCUUGUGCUGUGUCUUCGGCUUCCCCACCAAUCAAUAUUCAUAUUCUUAAUGUUCCCUGGCUUUGCCUCUCAGAGAAAAGCCACACGGGGACCCAAUUCCAGGUGCCUUGACUUCGCUACAUCUGCUUUGUGUAACUGUCAUCUUCUAUGUGAUACCCCAAAGUGUCUUCACUGCCCCCCCCUGCAAUGUCUGCAUCGGCCAGCCCAUUUACCUUCUCUCUGAAUGGUGCACAUAGCUUUUGUCUGAGCAUUCUCAGUGCACCUAGGAAAUCAGCUAAAUACAAGUCCCCCGUGCUUUCUGACCGACUUCCCAUCUUUCACUUGAGGUUGACUCUCUUCCCAUGUAGAUCCUAAACCGAGAGAAAAUGGCCGUAAUCUUUCCCCUAUUCUUCGAGGUGCAGGAAAUUGCUCUGGUACUUGGAGUCCCUUCCCAGUAACCAGAACAACCUCUGGCCUCGGGUCCUUCCCCGGGCUGAUAGCUUCAUGUGCCAGGACUCUGCCUUGCUCCAGUGAUCUCAGGAAAUGGAAUUCCUUUCUCAGGCUGAAGCCUUCAAAUUUACAUCUUUCCUCUUGCAUUCCAUUGUACGUGCUGUACGUUAAUUCCCUUAGGGUUCCUGUGCAUUUAACUCCACCGCUUGUCGGCCUUAUUGCUCCCAUUUCAACACCCACGGCAAAUUCCCCAAGCUCAGUCCAGCAUAGAGCCCUUUUUGCCUUGAGUAACAAGAGAGAUACAUUGAAGAUAGUUUAAGUGAGCCCCCCUCCCCCUCGAUCUUCAGUACCUGAUAGGCAAUUUUCUUCCUGUAGUUUUUCUAUUAUAAAUAUGUCAGAUAUUUUCUGAGUUUUCUAAAGUACACCUUUGCUUUCUAUUUUCCUAGUCUGCCUUGGGGAGAGAACUCUCAUCACAUUUAGGGGUCAGGAUGCUCCACUGGGGAGAGGAAUAGUGGUGAAACACCAGGUUUUCCGUUUCCUUCCUCCCUGGAGGUAUAGAACCACUUGGCACGAGGACAUCUUGAGAUGCUGCCAAGAAACAGCUCUUCUGUAAACCAGCUCAUUAGGUCCUUAAUUUCUGUGGCAUUUAUCUGCCUGCCUUUAUCAUAAAUGGGCUUGAAAAUGGCAACUGGCUUUUCCUA